rnacentral:rRNA from 1 species
GCCCGCCUCAGAAACUACAAAGGAAAGUUGACGGGGCCCGGCACAAGCGGUGGAGCAUGUGGUUUAAUUCGAUGAUACGCGAGGAACUUACCCUGGGCUCGAAAUGUAUGUUGACGUAUUCUGAAAGGGAUACUUCUUCGGACAAUAUACAAGGUGCUGCAUGGUUGUCGUCAGCUCGUGCCGUGAGGUGUCGGGUUAAGUCCCAUAACGAGCGCAACCCCUAUCAUUAGUUGCCAUCAGGUCAAGCUGGGGACUCUAAUGAAACUGCCUACGCAAGUAGUGAGGAAGGUGGGGAUGACGUCAAAUCAGCACGGCCCUUACGUCCAGGGCUACACACGUGCUACAAUGGCCGGCACAACGGGAAGCGAGUUCGCGAGGACGAGCGGAUCCCUUAAAGCCGGUCGCAGUUCGGAUUGAAGUCUGCAACUCGACUUCAUGAAGCUGGAAUCGCUAGUAAUCGUGGAUCAGCCAAGCCGCGGUGAAUACGUUCCCGGGCCUU